GAUGAACGCUAGCUACAGGCUUAACACAUGCAAGUCGAGGGGUAACAAGAGGAAAGCUUGCUUUUCUUGUUGACGACCGGCGCACGGGUGAGUAACGCGUAUCCAACCUGCCUACAACUAGGGAAUAACCUUGCGAAAGUAAGACUAAUGCCCUAUGAUUUCCUUUGAUGACAUCAGAUUAGGAAUAAAGAUUUAUCGGUUAUAGAUGGGGAUGCGUCUGAUUAGCUUGUUGGCGGGGUAACGGCCCACCAAGGCAACGAUCAGUAGGGGUUCUGAGAGGAAGGUCCCCCACAUUGGAACUGAGACACGAUCCAAACUCCUACGGGAGGCAGCAGUGAGGAAUAUUGGUCAAUGGGCGGAAGCCUGAACCAGCCAAGUAGCGUGCAGGAUGACGGCCCUAUGGGUUGUAAACUGCUUUUAUACAGGGAUAAAGUUAGCCACGUGUGGUUAUUUGCAGGUACUGUAUGAAUAAGGACCGGCUAAUUCCGUGCCAGCAGCCGCCGUAAUAC
rnacentral:rRNA from 1 species